AAUGUUUGACACCAUUGACUUUUUAGCACAUGUUUGACCGUUCGUCUUAUUCAAAAAUUUUAAGUAAUUAUUAAUUCUUUUUCUAUCAUUUGUUUCAUUGUUAAAUAUAUUUUGAUGUAGGCAUAUAAUUUUACAUAUUUCACAAAAGCUUUUAAAUAAGACGAACGGUCAAACAUGUGCUAAAAAGUCAACGGUGUCAAACAUU
rfam:Oryza sativa Japonica Group DNA, chromosome 1, cultivar: Nipponbare, complete sequence.